GAGCAAAGGGAGCUAAAUCCGAUAAAGGGAAGGAAAAAGUAGUUGAAUAGCCGUCGAAAUCGCUCGACAACAUUCAAGGUUUCGCUCGUUAGCUAUCGGAUUCGGGAUCAAAGAAGUCGAAGUCAUCCACACUAUCGAAGCCCCAUUUUGGUACAAAUUUUGGUUGAACUUUGAAAUGGCAUGUAUAGGACCAUCCUUUGUUGAAGGUCAUGUACCUUCCGGUUUGUGUAAACUUAGAUAGCCAUGCGAAAAUGGCUUAUAUACGUUUUUAGCAUAGAACUAUAAUCGUUUGUAUGUUGACCCUUACGAGGUAUGGAAUUAUUUUGAAACGAUUAGCCAUUGGAAUGGUUAAUCAUGAUCACACUUUGUGCUAUGUAUGUAAAAGGGCCGAUUGAAUCA